AUGCCAACAACCUCCGGCACCCGAUCCUCGCUGGGGAAUUUCUCCCGCAGGCUCCGCGAUUCCUGCUGCGACCUCCGUACGCAAAGGGACACCUCGUCGUCGCUCACAUGCUUGUUCCGCUACGCCUUUCCUGCACUCGUCGUCUCAGCAGUUACCGUGCUCUUGGUGCUACGCUUCGCCGUCGCCCCGCAGAUCAAGGCCUACGUCGAGGACGCCCGUCUCAACAGCUUCGCCUUGGCCGGCACGCGGGCGUCCUUCUCCGCCUCGGUCGCCCUCACAGUGCGUAACCUCAAUGGGGCCAUGGACAUCACGUACACCAGGCCCCUCGUGGCCACCUUCCUCUUCCACGACCGGCGUCUGUACAACGUCACCGUGGCGGACGAGGGGCCCAGGCACAAGCCGCUCAAGAGGGAGGCGUACCUGCUCCACACCGGCGGCGAGGGCCCGUAUGUGCUCGACGACGCCGCAGCCGAGGAGUUCGAGAAGCAGAACGCGACGGGGGUGUUCGAGGUGGAGAUGCGCCUCUCCGGGGCGAUCACGCUCGGCCUUGGCAACAACCGUGGGCUGGAGCUCAGCUGCCCGCUCACGCUGCAGCACCCGGAGCCGGGCCCUGAUGUCGUCGUGUUCCAUGAGAUCGACUGCGAACCUGAUAGGCCCAAGAAAAUCGUCUUUUGA
rnacentral:rRNA from 1 species